ACAGUAUUUAGCAAGCAUGGCUUCCUCUCCUCGUACAUUCCACACCAUGUUUGUGUUCCUCUGCCUUGUUCUUCUCCUUUUCUCCACAAGGGAACAUGUACAAGCAUUCGGUUGUAAGAAGCGUAGCGUAUUAUGGGAUGUGGGGGUGCCCUGUCUUGACACCGAAAGAUGUAAGAAUCAGUGCGUCAAUGUGGAACGCGCAGUGUUCGGCGCUUGUGAAAACCCUGCUGGCUUAGGAUUUGCUUGUUUUUGCUACUUCUGUUAAGCUGUGAAUUGAAUAUAUAUAAUGGGAACUGGGAAGGCAACAACGCAGUUUUCAGGGCUUGUCACCAAGAUGGCUUUGACCUCGCAUGCUUUUGCAACAAAAGCAGUGAAUUUCAUUUCAAGUCAUGUGAUUUAAUUUCCACCUUUCAUAUUUAAUUGCUCUCUAAUCUUUCCACAGCUUAAUAUCGCUCUUUAAUACAAAGAGGAUUCAUUGACAAUUGGAUGCUUCAUUCAAAACUAAUUACGUUGAUUUCCAAGUAUAGAGACCAACCAUUCAAAUGCAAUAGUUCAAGAUAAACUCCAUGAGAAUUUCAACGUAUUGACUUAAAAUCAAUUGAGUGAGAAUCUUGAAUUAAGCAAGGUGAUAGGCAAAACAACCAUAGAGGAAUAAUGCACAGAGUAAAUGAUUUCUGGAUGCAGCCAAAGUGUGGAAUUAAAAGCUACAAUCAAGAGAUCGACUCUCUGAAUCUGACUCAUUUACGGUUACCAUGCUGCUCUGUAAAACAGGCACAUAGAGCUGUAUUUCACAAUUUCCUCCAAAGUUUCUUGCACUUGUGGUAAAGAUUUGGGUCCCCACAAAAGAGUUGUUCUUUUUUGUUAUACAACCCCCUACCUUCUAUCAUUAGAAUUUUUAUCAAAUUACAUUCCAUAUUUUGUCUCCACACUGUUGUAUGAAACUUGGCACACACCCCAUUAAAGCAUGAAACACCUCUUCAAUAUUAUCAAAAUACAACCUUUGCCAACAGAGUUUUGUUUAGGAAGUUCUGGAUACCCACGUAAAUAGCCAUAUUUUCUAAUUUUGAAAUUGUGGUAUGUCCAUUAUUUCCUCCUUGUCAUAUCCAACUUCAAUUUUACUCAAAUGGCCUCCAAUUUGAAACUUUUCUUCUUGACUGUCCUCCUUUUCCUGCUUUUCAAAGGUGUCUUCCUUUUCCUGCUUUUCAAAGCUCAUGGACAAUGCUCCUUAAGUAACAUUAGCAUUGGACAAAAAGAAACAUCAGAUACAGCACAUGGCUAUCCUGUGAUUCGUGUUAACAUCACCAACAACUGCGCAUCAUGCACUCAGUCAAAAAUAAAGCUUGAUUGCUCUCAAUUUCAAACAAAAUUUGGUGACGACCCAUCAAACUUGAAGGUUUCUGGGGAUGAUUUUUGCAUUCUAAAAAAUGGCCAACCCAUUGAACCUUUUGAAACUGUCACUUUUCGCUAUGCGUGGGAUAUUAGGUUUUCAUUUCAACCAAUUUCUUCAAAAAUUGUAUGUUCUUAAGUAUGAGGAUUAGUAAUUUUUUUAUUUUUCAUUAUCUCAUGAUCAGGUGAAAUUUCCUAUCAUAUCCUCUUGUUAUUGUUCUAUUUACUUUAGUUCCUUUAGGUGUAGCUUUAGGGAACUGACACUUUCGAAUUGAAGCUUUGUAUGAACUAAUUAAUGUCAAAAUUUAGAAGAUCUUAUAAUU